UGGCGGACGGGUGAGGAAUACAUCGGAAUCUACUCUGUCGUGGGGGAUAACGUAGGGAAACUUACGCUAAUACCGCAUACGACCUACGGGUGAAAGCAGGGGAUCUUCGGACCUUGCGCGAUUGAAUGAGCCGAUGUCGGAUUAGCUAGUUGGCGGGGUAAAGGCCCACCAAGGCGACGAUCCGUAGCUGGUNUGAGAGGAUGAUCAGCCACACUGGAACUGAGACACGGUCCAGACUCCUACGGGAGGCAGCAGCC
rnacentral:rRNA from 1 species